rnacentral:rRNA from 1 species
GAUGAACGCUGGCGGCGUGCCUAAUACAUGCAAGUCGAGCGAACAGACGAGGAGCUUGCUCCUCUGACGUUAGCGGCGGACGGGUGAGUAACACGUGGAUAACCUACCUAUAAGACUGGGAUAACUUCGGGAAACCGGAGCUAAUACCGGAUAAUAUAUUGAACCGCAUGGUUCAAUAGUGAAAGACGGUUUUGCUGUCACUUAUAGAUGGAUCCGCGCCGCAUUAGCUAGUUGGUAAGGUAACGGCUUACCAAGGCAACGAUGCGUAGCCGACCUGAGAGGGUGAUCGGCAACACUGGAACUGAGCCACGGUCCAGACUCCUAAGGGAGGCAGCAGUAGGGAAUCUUCCGCAAUGGGCGAAAGCCUGACGGAGCAACGCCGCGUGAGUGAUGAAGGUCUUCGGAUCGUAAAACUCUGUUAUUAGGGAAGAACAAAUGUGUAAGUAACUAUGCACGUCUUGACGGUACCUAAUCAGAAAGCCACGGCUAACUACGUG